rnacentral:rRNA from 1 species
GUCGAGAAUAAUUCACAAUGGACGAAAGUCUGAUGGUGCAACGCCGCGUGGAGGAUGAAGGUCUUCGGAUUGUAAACUCCUGUCAUCGGGGAGUAAGACCUGGCGGUAAAUAGCCGACAGGGUUGAUAGUACCCGAAGAGGAAGGGACGGCUAACUUCGUGCCAGCAGCCGCGGUAAUACGAAGGUCCCAAGCGUUGUUCGGAAUCACUGGGCGUAAAGGGAGCGUAGGCGGCGUGGUAAGUCAGAUGUGAAAUCCCGGGGCUCAACCCCGGAACUGCAUCCGAUACUGCCAUGCUUGAGGGUUGGAGAGGUAGCUGGAAUUCUCGGUGUAGCAGUGAAAUGCGUGGAUAUCGAGAGGAACACUCGUGGCGAAGGCGAGUCACUGGACAACAUCUGACGCUGAGGCUCGAAGGCUAGGGGAGCAAAAGGGAUUAGAUACCCCAGUAGUCC